CAGGACGAACGCUGGCGGCGUGCCUAACACAUGCAAGUCGAACGGGGUUAUACCGAUUAAUCUUCGGAAGCGUUGAUAUAACUUAGUGGCGGACGGGUGAGUAACACGUGAGCAACCUGCCUUUCAGAGGGGGAUACCGUUUGGAAACGAACGUUAAUACCGCAUAACGUAUCGGUACCGCAUGAUACUGAUACCAAAGGAGCGAUCCGCUGAAAGAUGGGCUCGCGGCUGAUUAGAUAGUUGGUGGGGUAACGGCCUACCAAGUCAACGAUCAGUAGCCGGACUGAGAGGUUGGACGGCCACAUUGGGACUGAGACACGGCCCAGACUCCUACGGGAGGCAGCAGUGGGGAGUAUUGCGCAAUGGGGGCAACCCUGAACCGCAGCAACGCCGCGUGUGGGAAGAAGGUCUUCGGAUUGUAAACCAUUGUCUUCGGUGACGAUAAUGACGGUAGCCGAGGAGGAAGCUCCGGCUAACUACGUGCCAGCCGCGGC
rnacentral:rRNA from 1 species